rnacentral:rRNA from 1 species
ACGCUUCUUUUCUACCGAGUGCUUGCACUCAUUUGAAAAGAGGAGUGGCGGACGGGUGAGUAACACGUGGGUAACCUGCCCAUCAGAGGGGGAUAACACUUGGAAACAGGUGCUAAUACCGCAUAAUAGUCGACACCGCAUGGUGUUGAUUUGAAAGACGCUUUCGGGUGUCACUGAUGGAUGGACCCGCGGUGCAUUAGCUAGUUGGUGAGGUAACGGCUCACCAAGGCGAUGAUGCAUAGCCGACCUGAGAGGGUGAUCGGCCACACUGGGACUGAGACACGGCCCAGACUCCUACGGGAGGCAGCAGUAGGGAAUCUUCGGCAAUGGACGAAAGUCUGACCGAGCAACGCCGCGUGAGUGAAGAAGGUUUUCGGAUCGUAAAACUCUGUUGUUAGAGAAGAACAAGUAGGAGAGUAACUGCUCUUACCUUGACGGUAUCUAACCAGAAAGCCACGGCUAACUACGUGCCAGCAGCCGCGGUAAUACGUAGGUGGCAAGCGUUGUCCGGAUUUAUUGGGCGUAAAGCGAGCGCAGGCGGUUUUCUUAAGUCUGAUGUGAAAGCCCCCGGCUCAACCGGGGAGGGUCAUUGGAAACUGGGAGACUUGAGUGCAGAAGAGGAGAGUGGAAUUCCAUGUUGUAGCGGUGAAAUGCGUAGAUAUAUGGAGGAACACAGUGGGCGAAUGCGACUCUCUGGCCUGUAACUGACGCUGAGGCUCGAAAGCGUGGGGGAGCAAACAGGAUUAGAUACCCUGGUAGUUCUGCUGCCGUAAACGAUGAGUG